GAGCUCAUUUUGGCAGCACAUAUACUAAAAUUGGAGUGAUACAUAGAAGAUUAGCAUGGCCCCUAACAAGGAUGACAUGCAAAUUUGUUGUGUUCCAUAUUUUU
ensembl:snRNA U6 U6 spliceosomal RNA